rnacentral:rRNA from 1 species
GACAGAGGGUGCAAACGUUGUUCGGAAUUACUGGGCGUAAAGCGCGUGUAGGCGGCAGCGUGUGUCGGGCGUGAAAUCCCACGGCUCAACCGUGGAAGUGCACCCGAAACUGCGCAGCUAGAGUCCUGGAGAGGAAGGCGGAAUACUUGGUGUAGAGGUGAAAUUCGUAGAUAUCAAGUGGAACACCGGUGGCGAAGGCGGCCUUCUGGACAGUGACUGACGCUGAGACGCGACAGCAUGGGGAGCAAACGGG